AAGAGACAUGUAGGCUUCAUUGGUUU
rnacentral:piRNA from 1 species